GACCUUAUAGUCAAAUGGUUACGACAUGAAGUCUUCAUCUUUAGAGUGUUGGUUCGAAUCCGACUAAGGUUA
rnacentral:tRNA from 1 species